AUUGAACGCUGGCGGCAGGCCUAACACAUGCAAGUCGAGCGAGCGGCGGACGGGUGAGUAAUGUAUGGGGAUCUGCCUGAUGGCUGGGGUUAACUACUGGAAACGGUAGCUAAUACCGCAUACCAUCAGAUGAACCCAUAUGGGAUUAGCUUGUAGGUGAGGUAACGGCUCACCUAGGCUACGAUCCCUAGCUGGUCGGAGAGGAUGAUCAGCCACACUGGGACUGGGACACGGGCCAGACUCCUACGGGAGGCAGCAGUGGGGAAUAUUGCACAAAGGGCGAAAGCCUGAUGCAGCCAGGCCGCGUGUAUGAAGAAGGCCUUCGGGUUGUAAAGUACGUUCAGUAGGGAGGCGUUACCGACAGAAGAAGCACCGGCUAACUCCGUGCCAGCAGCCGCGGUAAUAC
rnacentral:rRNA from 1 species